CUGGCACUAGGACCCUGCAGAGAGGGAACCCUGAGCCUGCGCUCUAAAGAGAGAGAUGCACCAUUUCACAACUUCAGCAAAAGCCAAAGCAGCCAACAAAGCCACAGCCACCUCGGCUGUGCUGGGCUCUGCCUUUUGGGCAGCUCACCGGCCACUCCCCAGCAGAGCGUUCUGUCCUUUCUCUUUUAAAAGCCACGUCAUCGUCUGAUCAUAAUGGAAAUCAAUCUCCUCAAGUCACCACGCAAAGGCGUCUCCAUGGCAACCUCAAGAGGAAGGACACAGAAAUGAUGCUCCAGUGGCUGAAGCAGAAAAAGGGAAGGAAUGCCAUUUCUGCAGAGGAAACCUGUAGCUCCGAAUGGGUUCAGGGGUGCCUCGGGCGCUCCCAGGAAAGGAGGUGAACCCUUGCAGUUCUGGAGGAAUUCGGAGGCGCAAUCACUCGGACCCCGGGAGAAUACCGCCAGGCUGAAGAGCUCAGGUGCUAACCUGAGGCCCCUUCUGAUGGGGAACCUGAACAGGACCCCAAGGACCCCAAAAUUUCCUCCCAACCUGUGA
rnacentral:lncRNA from 1 species